CCUUGCUGCACCCACUGUGGUCCUUUGGUGCCGCCCAAAUCGCCCUCCUCACCCAGACCUGCUCACCUUCUUGAUGUGGCCAAGUCUCAGGCUGGACUCAAAGCCCUGGAAAUCUGAAGCCCCCGCCUCAUACAUCAAAGAUGCUUUUGCAUGGAGGGAAAAAAUGUAGGUCAUUUUUCAAUGCAUGUGGCUAUCUUCGAGCAUCCCUGAAUGCCAGAAGUGGGGCUGCUGGGCAGGGCUAAAUAAAUGAGAUUUGUCUCAGAGGGAGCCGCCCACACCUGCCUGCUCUCCCACCCAAGGUGGGCGAGGGUGGGGGCAUCUGGGAAAGUUGCUAUGAGGUGUGUUCCCACCCGCUGCACACUCCUGGGAAACAGGCUUGAGCUUGUGUCUCUCUGGACCCCAGCACAUCGUCCCCAACCCUUAGCCACUGAGAGAAGAGGGAACUUUCUUUGUCCUUGUUGUCAGUUUUAAAUCUGGUGCUGUGAAUGAGAGGAAGAAAACAGGCAAGUUCAUCGAGGCAUUUAUUCCUAACACUCCAGCCAUCACACGCUGCUGGCACUUGAAGAAAAAUUAAGAAAACGAGUGCUUGUAAAAGAGAAAGAGCCAGAGUGCUGGCCUGGGGCAGACGCAUCCUCACAGCCCCCUCCCCACUCAACCCGCCCUGAAGACUACACUCUGCUCACCCCCAACAUUCUUCCUCUCCCAUCUCCCCCCAUUCCCAGCCCGCUCCAACCUGCCAGGCUCGGCACAGUCCACCUGCCCCCAGAGCCAGGCCGGUCCCCACCCAUCCUCCCCUCCCCUCCCCGCUCCAAAUCGGUGCUCUGCCUGUGGCGAGCCUCUCCGCUGCCUGGACAGACACUGCCCCCCUCAGGCCACACUCAGUCCUGGGCUGCGGUGACCUGAGCGUCAAAGACAAACAUCCGUGGGCGCCUAGGAGGGGGACACAGGAGAACCUCACCGGUGACCCCAAUUCCAGAUUCGAACCCAGGUCUCCAGAGGGCCAGACCCUGGUCUGUGUGUGCCAUUCGCCCAUCCCUUCCAGGCUGGAGAUGACCUGUAGCCUAAGACCAAUGCCUGAAUUCUUGUGGCCCCUGGACACUUCAUGGUACCAACAGUCACAGCCUCUCUACCCGCAGGGGGGACAUUCUUGCUCUCUGUGCUUGGGCAUCACCAGGAGUCUCCCAGCCCUACACCCAGUUCCUCCACACCCCCACCAAGUCAGCAAGUAUAUCACUCCAGACUGCAGAUCCACCCCCACCUCCACCCCAGACCGAGUGGUCAAUGUGAACAGCUCCCUUGCUGAGCCUGGAACCUCCUCUCAGGGCCCAAGGCAAUUAUCAUUUAGUGGCACCAAGGGCUCAGGCAGCAGCUUUCCCUGA
rnacentral:lncRNA from 9 species